rnacentral:lncRNA from 1 species
GAGAAUAUCCUUAGAUGGAUGUGGAAACCAACAGAGAAUAAGAAGACCCUUUCGGAAAUGAGUUAACAUAUCAUUAUCAUCUCUGCCAAUUAGCAUUUAUUGAGCAACUGGGCACUUGGAACUUCAAGAGUCUCCACAGAGACUCCAUACUCUGAUCCAUCUGAGAAAGACUACAACUCUGACCACAAACGCCAGCAGCAGACAACAUCAUGAUGCCCAGGAAAGGGACCAGGCUAGCCACAUCCCAAACUUAUCAAACCAGCCAUUUUGUAGUUUGGUCGGAGGAUUCAGAGAACACCUUGAGGAUUGUGGGUGAUUGUCUCCCGUGCUCAGAUGCUUGGUCUCAGACCGUGGUGUUUGGCAGAAAUCAGUGAUUUUUCAGAACAUUGGAAGGUGCCCACAAAUGGUAUCCGACUGUUGCAUCCAACUGUUGCAUCGUGAGCAACAGCAAGAGGUUAUGGAGAUCUCCUCUGCAGAGGAGGAGAUAAAGGUGGACGAGUCCCUCACUUCAAAUGGGAUUAGGGAGAUGCAUAAAAUGUCAGAAACGGGGUAAAAUUUUGUAGAAAACCACCACCUAAAUAAGGCUGUAGCAGUGCAAGUGAUGAAUCUACUUAAUGACAAUGUAAUGUCAUAUUUCCGAGAAAUCCUCAAAAGGAGGCAAAAGCAAGUGCCAUUGGAUAGGUUCCUUGUUAAAGUUGCAUGAAAAGAAAAAGAUUCCAUUGAGCCAAUAGAUAGCAGUGAUUCCAUUAGUGAUAGUGAAAGUAGUCCUACACAAUAACCCUCCUCUCUCUUGUCUCCCUCAGACCAGCCAUGAAGGUUUUCUAAGGUAAGUAUAGGUUAAUUUGUUUUUCUUUAUAUUUUGUCUUUUUAAAAAAUUAUUCUGUAUUAUAUUCCAGUAUGUUAAUCAUUUUUAUGUGAAUAUUUUAGGUUGUGGAAUGAAUCAUCUGAGUUUCCAUUAUUUCUUAUGGGGAAAUCGCUUUGCUAUACAAAUGCUUUGGAUUACUAGCAUGUUUCAGGAACGAAUUAUGCUUCCAAACCAAGGUUUUACUGUACUUACUGUUUGUUUGUUUGUUUGUUUGUUUUUCCUAGAGUGAUAAGUAAUUUAGUUCAUCCCCUUGCCUUCAGGUACACUCACACUGUCUUUUCCAGGAGAUAGGACUUUUAUUAAUAAUUUUCAAAGGAAGAAUUUUAUAAUAAGUUUUACUAAUUUAUUCUCAUUUAGCUUAAACAUGUCAG